GACGAACGCUGGCGGCGUGCUUAGCACAUGCAAGUCGAACGGAAAGGCCCUACUUUUGUGGGGUGCUCGAGUGGCGAACGGGUGAGUAACACGUGAGUAACCUGCCCUUGACUUUGGGAUAACUUCAGGAAACUGGGGCUAAUACCGGAUAGGAGCUCCUGCUGCAUGGUGGGGGUUGGAAAGUUUCGGCGGUUGGGGAUGGACUCGCGGCUUAUCAGCUUGUUGGUGGGGUAGUGGCUUACCAAGGCUUUGACGGGUAGCCGGCCUGAGAGGGUGACCGGCCACAUUGGGACUGAGAUACGGCCCAGACUCCUACGGGAGGCAGCAGUGGGGAAUAUUGCACAAUGGGCGGAAGCCUGAUGCAGCAACGCCGCGUGCGGGAUGACGGCCUUCGGGUUGUAAACCGCUUUCGCCUGUGACGAAGCGUGAGUGACGGUAAUGGGUAAAGAAGCACCGGCUAACUACGUG
rnacentral:rRNA from 1 species